UGUAGUGGUGAAGCCGUGACCCACAACAGUGUCCACAUAACCCGUGGCCAUGGCUGCAGCAGCACGGCGUGUAAUCUGGAUGGACAUGUCAGGGUACAUGUGCACUCACUUCAAGAUGACGACACUCCACCUCAAGAACAGCCUCUCCUCAAUGAUAAGUAGCGAGAUUAAAUGAAAGGAAAAUAUCACAUCCGUAACCAGACUGAUACUGUGUUUUCCUUUCAUUUAACCUCCUUCUGCAUUUAAGGAAGCAUUGAUAUGCCCAAUAAAUGUUUUUGUUAAAUUUA
rnacentral:lncRNA from 1 species